GGAGGAGGAGGAGGAGGAGGGGACGUGCCGUGCCGUGCCUUUUUGCCCUGGUUGCUCAGCUCGGCCGGGCCCCGCCCGCCGGGGAGAGCGCCGGGCCGCGCCGGGCGCCUGAGGAGAAAGGGGGCGGGCGACGCGUUUGAAAGUCACCAGCCGGGGAGCGGCAGCGCUGGGCCUCGCGCCUCGCUAACCGCUGGCGGGCGCGGCCGCCCCCUCGCUGCCGCCUGGGGCGAGGCGCCCGGGGCCGGGGCGAGCGGGCAACGGGGGCUCGCGACGGGGCGCUGCUGCUAGCGGGCGGUCCCUUAGCGAUCCUUCACCAGACGGGUGGGGAAGGUGGUUUUGCUGCCCAGUGAAAACCCGUCUGGAAAAUAAAAGUUUCUUUUUAGAAGAUUCAUUCACUCCAAAGUUGUGGGGUUUUUUGUUGUUUUUUUUUUUUCUUUAGUAGGCGAGUUGCUCGGGAGCUGCGAAACUUUUAUUCCAAUUGAUUAAAUGCCAGUUUCAUCAGAGCUGUUUACACCACCACGGAAUAAUGAAAGAGCAACGUUUUUAGCAUAGUGGAUGUGUGAAAAUGGGCCACUGUAAGACUGAAAAUAUGACCAGAUACCAAAGUACUAAUUAAGCUUCUUAAUUGGGAAAAAGAAUGUCUUUUUCAGAUGUUCGUUAACUCCUCACAUCUCUCAGAUAUGUGAAUGCAUAUAGGGCUGAAUGUUUGGGUUUUGGGGUUCCACAAGGUGGUAUGGCAUCUCAGUUGGCUAACACUGUUUCUUCUGUACAGACAAAGUCUUCACUCAAACACCAUCUUGCAACCAAACUCAUCUUGGAAGAGAUGAUUCCCCCCUCCCCCAAGAAAAGCUUGGGGGAGAAAUCCUGCCGGCUGUUUUCUGCUGAGUCACUCCGCUGGCUUAUCAAGAGCCUUUCACCAAUGCUGUAA
rnacentral:lncRNA from 1 species